rnacentral:lncRNA from 1 species
AAAAAAGGGAAAGUUAAAAAAACAUAAAAGGAAAAAAUGAAAUUGUUAAAAACGAAAAAAAUAUGAAGAUCGAAUGUAUACAUUGACCUAAAUUUUUUGUUUGAAAUGAUGAUUUAACGUGCUAUGUUAGCUUAUCAUUAUAGUGUUAAUGAUAAUUAAUGGCUUAGUGAUUAAAAUGUUACAACGCGAUAAUGUAAAUGACUAAAAUGUAACAUUUCAAAUAUAAGUGGCUAAAAUAUAACCUUGGAUAAAGAGAACUGACUAUUUUGGUUUGUUAGUUGGGUAUUUGUUGAAACAAGGGCAGCAAGCAUAAGCAAAACAAAAACAGCAAGCAGAGAAAAAAGAAAAACGUUGACAAGAAUUGUAACUGAAGGAAUUCAACAUUAACCUUGUAUUCAAAUUGAAAUAUAUUGAAGUUACAAUAUUUGCUUGACAGUUACCUAAACAAUUAACUACUCCCACUAAUUGACUAAUUUCAAACUUAAGAGAUACACAAAAGGAAAGCUGAAAACGUCAACUAUUACAUCCAUCAUAAUCAAAAGAUUUACUAACUUUGAUGUCAAGUUACAAACCAAC